AUACGGAGGGUGCAAGCGUUGUUCGGAAUCACUGGGCGUAAAGGGCGCGCAGGCGGUUUGGUAAGUCAGAUGUGAAAGCCCAUGGCUCAACCAUGGAAGUGCAUUUGAAACUGUCAGACUUGAGUACUAGAGGGGAAAGUGGAAUUCCCGGUGUAGAGGUGAAAUUCGUAGAUAUCAGGAGGAAUACCGGUGGCGAAGGCGACUUUCUGGCUAGAUACUGACGCUGAGGCGCGAAAGCGUGGGGAGCAAACAGGAUUAGAAACCCCAGUAGUCC
rnacentral:rRNA from 1 species